rnacentral:rRNA from 1 species
AACGAACGCUGGCGGCAUGCCUAACACAUGCAAGUCGAACGAGACCUUCGGGUCUAGUGGCGCACGGGUGCGUAACGCGUGGGAACCUGCCCUUAGGUUCGGAAUAACUCCCCGAAAGGGGUGCUAAUGCCGGAUAAUGUCUUCGGACCAAAGAUUUAUCGCCUUUGGAUGGGCCCGCGUUGGAUUAGCUAGUUGGUAGGGUAAAAGCCUACCAAGGCGACGAUCCAUAGCUGGUCUGAUAGGAUGAUCAGCCACACUGGAACUGAGACACGGCCCAGACUCGUCGGGGGGGCAGAGGGGGGCAAGAUGGGAGAAGGGGAGCAAGCAGAUGCAGACAGUGCUGCGUGAGUGAGGAAGGCGUUAGGGUUGUAAAGCUCUUUAAACGGGGAAAAAAAUGACAGUACGGGGAGACGAAGCUCCGGCUAACUCCGAGACAGCGGCGACAGUAAUAAGAGGAAGAGAAAACGUCUCAAC